GUAGGGAAUAUUGGGCAAUGGAUGCAAGUCUGACCCAGCCAUCCCGCGUGCCGGAAGAAGGCCCUCAGGGUUGUAAACGGCUUUUGACGGUGAAGAACCGACAGGAUGCGUCCUGUUUUGACGGUAGCCGUUGAAUAAGCACCGGCUAACUCCGUGCCAGCAGCCGCGGUAAUACGGAGGGUGCGAGCGUUGUCCGGAUUUAUUGGGUUUAAAGGGUGCGUAGGCUGGAAGGUCAGUCAGCGGUGAAAAGCUAUCGCUUAACGAUAGUCUUGCCGCAGAUACUUCCUUUCGUGGAUGAGGAGGAGGCCACUGGAACGGAUGGUGUAGCGGUGAAAUGCAUAGAUAUCAUCCAGAACACCGAUUGCGAAGGCAGGUGGCUGUACCUUAAUCGACGCUGAUGCACGAAAGCAUGGGGAGCAAACAGGAUUAGAAACCCGUGUAGUCC
rnacentral:rRNA from 1 species